CGCAGGCCCCAAGGAAGGCAGGAAGGAGGCUGGCAGAGCUCCCUGCAGCAGAGCAGACCAUCCAGCACAGCUUUUGCAAGAGAGAGAGAGAGAGAAUCCCUGAUCUAUACACUAUUCAGCUACAUACCUGGAAAAGCUUGCUAAGAUCAAUGCUACCAUUGCCUACCUUACAACUCUUAAAGCAGCAGCAGACUGCAGGCAAGAGAAGCAGGGAACAACAAAGUGGUAGUAGGCACACAAAGUGGAGUCAGAGACAACACACUUGACUGAGAAAUUUAAGGAUUAUGGUCUACUAGGAUUUGAAAACCAUAAGUUCAGAGUCUCUGACCAGUUCCCUAUUUAUGCCUCACGAAAGAUGCUGCUUGGAAAAAUGAGGACUUUGGAUCCUCAUCUAUCUAGAGAGGCUAUUAAAAUCUUCCAUAUCUGGAGACUUUCUGCCUUCAGUUAGGCCUGCACAACAUGUUGAAUUCAGAAGCUGUGAAAGUAGAAGCUGUGAAAGCCAUGCACAGAUAUAACUUGGCCUUCAUUUCAUUAUAUUGAUAAAGGACAGACCCCAACACUUCCUAAAAUGUUGUGCCUGUGGGCUGCCUAACUCCCAGGGAUAUACUGUAUUUUCAGGAGGCACAACGGGCUUCAGAGGGAAGGGGAGAUUGAUGAAAAUUGCCCCUCCCCUGUAACACCGGUACCGUGUUAGAACACCAGCAAUGCGUUAGUCUGGAUGUCAACCAUUUAAUGUUUCCAAAUUUGUGCAUACUUCAUAAUGAAAUCACAACGUUUUAUGAAGCUGCCCCAAUUUUGCAUGGGUAUACAUGCUCAGUGGCAUGUUUCCUAUAGUCAUAAAAUGAUCAUAUGUUACAUUAUCCCCAGAAAAUAUCAUGUUUGAUCAAGCUAUUGCAUUAAACUUGAUCUCUCAAGUCCAAGUCUCAGUUUAUCAAUUGAGACUUGAUAAAGAUGCAUAUAGCUUUCACUAGUCCCUCUACUUCAAGAAAAAAGCAGGAAAAAGCAAUGCCCUAAGAAGGUCUGAAAUACACACCGUCUGUUAUACUAGUCAUUAUUACAUUAUUUUUUUUUUAAAGGCAAGAGAAAGAAGCCUGUCUCAGCUGACCUCAGAUUUUAUUUGUGUUUUUAUCCAGCUGCCUUUUGACCUCAGAGGGAUCCUGAGAUUGUCACAAUUAACACACACAAAUAAAAUACAAUAAAUCAUAUUAAGAUAGAAAUUAAACAAAGAACAGCAGACUACAAACAGGCCAGAUGAAAAUACAAAAACAGAACUUGAGGGAUGUCAAAGAAAUGACUAGCUUUGUCAAGGGACUUUGCCUUGGCACCUGAUUGGCUAAAAGCAUCAUAGCUUAACUAUGAAAUAGACAAAUAUGUUCCUUCAGGCUUUCCACUGAGGCAUUUCUAUCUUCCCCCCCCGAAGACCAAAGCAAGGAGGAAUAUCUACUUAUAACUAAUUAUCUAGAAGAUAUCUUGCAGUGUAGAACAACACACCUGAGAACUGACAGAAUCUUGUUUUUUUGUUUGCUAAAAAUUGGACAACUAAGUAAAAAUCCAAUUAAUUCACACCAAAGGCAGCUGGACCACAUAAAAAGAUUUAUGACUAAGCUACAUACUUCAAGCCAAUAGAUAUCAGAAGUGUCUACUUUAAUGGUUCAAGCUUGUAUCAUCAAAAUGGCCCACUCAGGUGCAUUAUUACCAUAGUAUAGGAAACAAUGUUGCAGCAACAGGAAAAAAAUUAUUUGACAGAUCUCUUUACUCCCCUCAUGUGUACAAUGAUGUGUUUCCAACUAGGAUAAAAUUAAAACAGCACAUCAGAAUUUAGAGCAGAACCACUGUAUUAUACAAUCACAGAGGUAGUCUUCAGCUUGCAGACUGGUAUUCAUUCUUGUUGCUAUUUGUGGAUAGUUAUAAAGGCCAACUAUCUCAGUGCGGCUUAAAUUGGCCAGGAAGCACCAAUCUGUCAGUAUAACUCAUUAGAUAUUUGCUACUCUUUUUCUAACAUGUGACUAAGAUAUUAUAAUUUGAAAUUUGCCUUAAUUGGUUUUUCAAAAAAUUAAUUGAUUGUUGUACUUUAAUUGUGUUUGCUUUUAAUUCUUGUAAACCACCUUUGAGCAAAAAGGAAAGAUGGGAUAUAUAUUGCUAUUUGUAUAAGAAUGUUUUUCUUUUUAAAAUAAGAAAAAUCAUGGUUUUUUCCUAUGAUAAAUUACUUUUAUGUUAAGUAAAUCAGUGUAGAAGAGGAGAAGGAGGAUGACUAGCCCACCAAAGGCAUGUUGCCCCCAAACCUGUAUACAACCCUUGGACCUCGCUGUGGGCAGCCCCCAAACUUCAGUUCCUGACAAACAGCCUCAGCUCCCAUUACAGAUUUGAAGAACUUCCUCAGUGCUAAGUAUUUAUACAGCACAGAUUCUAUGAAGCAGAUCUCUGUUGUUUCCACUGUACAGACGAACUGAGAAAGAGUGAACCACCCAAGAUCCCCACCGCAUCUAUGGCAGAGCAUUGGGUCUACUGCCUCCAUUCUGUAGCAGAUCUUGUUGAAUGACAAGUGGUCUCCCUUGAAGAUGUAGACAAUUAUAAACUGCUUCACUUUAGCUAUCAGACUUGAUAGGAAAACAAAGCAAGCUAUGGCUGGUGCUGAUGAAAACUGUAAUCAGUGAGGUGAUAGUGAGUGGCAACCCAAUAUGAUUGGUCAUCUUAUUUCAACAGCUUCUAGCUGUAAAUACACACAUUUCCUAACCAGUCUUGCAUGCUAUUAAUAAAACACUUCAAUAAAG